UACGGAAGGUCCGGGCGUUAUCCGGAUUUAUUGGGUUUAAAGGGAGCGCAGGCCGCCGUGCAAGCGUGCCGUGAAAAGCAGCGGCCCAACCGCUGCCCUGCGGCGCGAACUGCCUGGCUUGAGUGCGCCAGAGGCGGGCGGAAUUCGUGGUGUAGCGGUGAAAUGCUUAGAUAUCACGAAGAACCCCGAUUGCGAAGGCAGCCCGCUGGGGGGCAACUGACGCUGAGGCUCGAAGGUGUGGGUAUCGAACAGG
rnacentral:rRNA from 1 species